GGUAGCAUGGCCGAGCGGUCCAAGGCGCUGGAUUAAGGCUCCAGUCUCUUCGCAGGGUUCAAUCCUCUGCUGCCAUUA